AUUGAACGCUGGCGGCAUGCCUAACACAUGCAAGUCGAACGGAGAUAGGGGCAACCUUAUUUCAGUGGCGGACGGGUGAGGAAUGCGUCGGAAUCUGCCCUAUGGUGGGGAUAACGCAGGGAAACUUGUGCUAAUACCGCAUAAUGUCGAGAGACCAAAGCAGGGGACCGGCAAGGCCUUGCGCGAUAGGAUGAGCCGACGCCCGAUUAGCUUGUUGGUAGGGUAAUGGCCUACCAAGGCGACGAUCGGUAGCUGGUCUGAGAGGAUGAUCAGCCACACUGGGACUGAGACACGGCCCAGACUCCUACGGGAGGCAGCAGUGGGGAAUAUUGGACAAUGGGCGCAAGCCUGAUCCAGCAAUGCCGCGUGUGUGAAGAAGGCCUGCGGGUUGUAAAGCACUUUUGUUCGGGAAGAAAUCAUGUCGGUUAAUACCCGAUGUGGAUGACGGUACCGAAAGAAGAAGCACCGGCUAACUACGUGCCAG
rnacentral:rRNA from 1 species